ensembl:lncRNA
AUGGAUGUCACGGAUGAUGGAUGUGUGUGUCAGUGGAGGCGAUGGAGCAGAGAACCAGCAUGAAUAGACCCCGAAUCAAAUUAGGUACCUUUAAUUUGUUCAAGAUUGGAACUGACACAAGGACUACUUCCUCAUACCUAGAUUAGGAUGAAUGGAUCCAUGGGAAGCGGCCCUGGUGCCAGUCAGUUGACCGGUUUGUCCCGUGCAAAAAGGGGGUUUCCAAGGAGCACCUGGCAACUCUGAGCGCUGCGUGUUGGGCCUCCCGGCUGAUCCGUGCUGUUGUGGAGUCUCACAGCUGACAGCCACAACGAACAACGCACUCUGCUAAUAGGCCAUGUGUCCCUGAGAGCUGAGCACCAGGGGAGAGCUAGAGCCACAAUGGGACCUGCUGCACAUGAACUGGGCUCACAGCAGGACAUGGGGAGAGGGGCCUGGAGAGUACCAGUCUGACACAAAC